CUCAAGUUUAUUAACAGCUUGAUAGUUCUGUUAUUAGUUCAAAUUUAGAAUGUCAUGACAUAGAUCUCAUAUUUUUUUUAAAAUUUAAUAUUAUUACUCGAACUGAUAUAGAAGAUUGAGAUUUUUCUUAAGAUGAGAGUCUACAUAUAAAAUUUGUUGGAAGGUCAAGAGAAGAAAGAAAUCGAUGAUUGUGAAGAGUGCCCGAUGUUUGACCUUUAUUUAUUUUUCUAUCAAGGGUAGCCUG
rnacentral:lncRNA from 1 species